rnacentral:rRNA from 1 species
UACGUAGGGGGCGAGCGUUAUCCGGAUUUACUGGGUGUAAAGGGAGCGUAGACGGUUAAUCAAGUCUGAAGUGAAAGCCCGCGGCUCAACUGCGGAACGGCUUUGGAAACUGAGUAACUGGAGUGCUGGAGGGGCAGGCGGAAUUCCUGGUGUAGCGGUGAAAUGCAUAGAUAUCACGAAGAACUCCGAUUGCGAAGGCAGCUUACCAGUCUGCGACUGACGCUCAGGCACGAAAGUGUGGGUAUCGAACAGG